CGUAGUCCAGUGGUAAAGCACUUGCCCCACACGGGGAAUUCCCGGGUUCAAUUCCCGGC
rnacentral:tRNA from 1 species